GGCCUUUCUGAACCUAAUGAACACAGCAGAGCCCAAAGUUGUCAAGAUGUUUCUUGCCGUUAGGCACUGGGGGAGAUUGUCCAUUAAGUCCUGAUGGCAUUGUCAGUUCUGAGGGUAAAGUAGGAGAAAGUUCAGAGCAACCCUUGAAGGAAAGUACAACUGGUAUCAUCACCAUCUAACAGAUAAGAAAAAUGGAGCAUUGGAGUGGUUAGGUAAUUUGGCCCCAAACCACAAAGAGCUCACAUUCAUGGACCUACACUGAUAGAACUUGGAGGAGUCCACAUUAAGCCUUCUUCAUAGUAAUUGAUGAGGAUAUUGGGGUCCAAAGAGCCAAGUCAUCACUGGGGCUUUAGACUGGGGAACCUGGCCUUGGUAGAACUCUUCAGAGUUGCUGAUGUGCCUUUCCACUUACGUGACUCACCUUUCAUUCAGUACCUCCCUUCAAGGAAAGCCCUGUCUCUGGUCCUUGGGCUGGGAUCACACAGAGUUCUUGGGAUGACCCUGGCUCUCCCGCGCCAGCCGCCCUGCUGCCAAGUGCAAGCAUUCGCUCCCAGAUGCUUCGCACAAUUCUUUGCAAAUGUCAUCCAAUCAGUGUCCAGGUGUUCACGGCUCAUCACUGGCUUACUGAUCCGGUCUACAUAACUUGGGGCAUUGCUGUUUAUGCAGGUAUAAAAAAAAAAAAAAAAAAAGAAAGAAAGAAAGAAAGAAAGAAAAGAAAGAAGAACGGCAGCAUCACAGAAUGUGAAUCAGAAUAUUAGUCUGUGGUACUGGGAGAGAAAAAAGAUUCCCCAGAGAGGAUGAAGACCAAACAGACUGCAGACCUGCCAUCUCUCCACGCUGCACUGGGAUUGGCCAUUCGCUGUAUGCACCCGGGAAAAAAAAUUCAGAGGACCAUGCUGUGAUAGCUGAUUUUAGGAAGACAUUCUAGAGAGCACAUGAGUUUUAUUUUUACAAAUGACUUAAUAAUCUGGGGUACCAAGCCAGGGCUGCAGAGGCUGGAAGAGCCCCUGACAGACAUUUGCCACCCCCCAGUGGUGAGCAGAGGAGGAGGAGAUCCAGAGUUACGGGUGGUAGCCGAACAGGGUUUCACAGCAAUUAGAGGUCUACGUUCUCCUUGAGGCAGAGGGGUAACUCCCACAGUGUUAAUGGGAUUUAACAAAGAGAAGGGGAGACUCCAGGGCGGCAUUUCCAGUCGGGGCUUCCACACCAGCAGAAGAGGGACAGAGCUCUGCUGCUUCCAGCCGGACCUGGCAGAGAGUCAUGGGAGCCUGGACCUUACCACGUUGCCUUCAUCAGCAAUUCCGCCCUCCAGCCGGCAUCCUGUGAGGGGUCCCCAACCUGUGGUCGCCCAGCCCCUUCUACGAACCUUGUGAAGAGAAGCUCUCUGUGCCUUGGGCUAGAAAGUUCUCUCACAGUCUAUCCAGUGCUUAAGCUUGCGGGCCUAGGUUUACAUCCCAGCUCUGCUGAGUUUCCAGCUAAGCCUAGUUCCCGCCUCCAUAAAAUGGAGAUAAUAAUGGCACUUACUUCACUUGCGGAUCUAAUGAAAGUCAAGAGCUUAGCACAAUAUUUGACCAUAUAAUGUACUUCUAAGUGAUGAUGAUGAUGAUGAUGAUGAUGAUGAUGAUGUUGAUUAAUUUGGGCCUAGAAUUGACGUCUUAGUCAUAUGAGGCAGAACCUAGUUCUAAGGAAACACACCUCAGUACCUUCAUAGAAACAUUUCAUGAUGAAAACCUAAGCAGUUGUGCAAUGAAAAUCCCUGUCAUUUACAACAGUUCCCCCACCCCCCACGUACUUAGGAUAAAUUAGAACCAGGAUGGGCCAAGUUUCUUGUCUUGCCUGCUCUUUUCCUCAGUGGCAACAGUGUGAUUUAUGGCUCUGAGGGGAGAGCCAACGAAACGCAGUUGUUUCAGCUGACCGUCCCCGUGAGUUUUCAGGUUGAUGUAAAAUCCAAUGGGGUGUGAACUGAAACCCAAGAUCUCCUGAAAACCCCAUGCACUGAGCUCCGUAAGGGACCAAACCAAACCAAAGCUCCCUCCCUCUUGCCUGGCGCUCCUGGAGCUCACAAAAAGCCUGCCACUUGUGAGCCUGUGUGCCUGGAAGGGUCUGCUGCACCUGGCUGGGGGCCCUGGACCACUGUUUCCCUGGCAGCAGCAAGGAGGCAGGUCCUCUGGUCACCCCUGGGGCUGGCCCCAUGCCAGCGACCUCAGAAACUAGGCAGGCUUUUGUCCUGGGGUCUCCUAGGGGUUGCUUACACGGGGAGAGUGAGGCUUUGUUGGAAGACUCUCAGAGGCCUGGCCAGGUUUUCCUCUCACAGCCAAGAAGCAGGUUCUAGUGCUUUCCAAACCCUUGAUACCUUCUAAACUGAAAAGCAGCUGCCCACUCAGAGUUUGGGCUAGGGUAUGGAAAUGCUAAAAACCUUUUCUUUUAAAAGGGAAUUGUUACUGUCUCUCUGAAAAGACUGCAGGGUUUCUGGGAGAUUCUGAAAUGAUGUCUAGAGCUAGAGUCUAAAAAGGUGGAAGGAGAGCUUUCUGGGUCGGGAGUUAAAAGUAUAAGCUCUGGAGGCAGGCAGACCUGGGUGCAAGUCCUAGCUCAUACUCUUCAUAGCUGAGUGACCUUGAGAAAGUCACUGAAUCCCUCUGAGGUUCCCUUUGUUCUUUUGCCCUCUGUUCCCUCUUCAUCUUACCCUGUCUAGCCCAACGUUUUUGGUAGUUCAUGUUCCAGUCAGAAGAAAAGAUCAAUGAGAACUGGGAUUUACAAUAAUUACAAUCAUCAAAAUUAACUGAGUGCAGUGCUCAGCAAUUUAUAUCAAUUUCAUGUAAUCCGCAGAACCCUUUCAUAAGGUAGGCAUUGCACAGAUGUACGUUUUACCAGUGAGGAAACAGAAGUUUAGGAAGGUUGCCAAAAACUUAGAAUGACCUUUCUAAAAUAUGUCCGGUUCUAUUAGUCUUUGGUUUAAAAUCUUACUAUGGAUUUAUCUUCAGGAUAAAAUAAAAUUCUUUAACACAGAAAAAAAGGACGCUUCCAUGCUGUGAGCCUUCAGGAUGCAGUGGUUAACCAGUAUCGUCUUUCUAACUUCCUGACUUGCAAGUCUCCCCUCUGACCACACUGAGCUUUCACCCUUCCGUAGCUGACUGAGGUGUUCUUGAACCUCCAAGACUCUGCACACAAUCUUUUCUUCUUCCUUUGUCUCCUUCUGGAUCUGGCUAACUCUGACUAUCCUUCAAGACAUGGCUCGGGUAUCCCUUUGUCUGUAGAAUAACCUGUAUACCCCCAAAGGUGGGGAUAAACGCCCUUUCUAUACGAUCUUGUAGCUUCUGAGUCUGCUUCUAACAAGGUUAACUCCAAAUUCCUCAGCCCAAGACUGAAGGGAACUCCUUUCACUGCCUUUACCCUAGACUUUCACCUGUGCAGCUCUCUGGCAGCAGGAAGUCCAGGAUGCCCAUGGACCCUUAGCAAGCCAUUCACAGUCCUCGCUUAGGAAAUUUUAGUAGAGUCUGCUGAAUUUGUCUUAAAUAGGCUGGCGACAAUUGUUUUUUAAAAUGUAUACAAGCAUGCACUGCAUAACAACUUUUCAGUCAACAACAGAUCAUAUAUAUGAUGGUAAUCCCAGGACCUGAAAAUAUCCUAUUGCCUGGUGACAUUAUAGCUAUCAAAAUGUGGUAGAGCAACACAUUACUCACUUGUUUGCCAGCUGUAAAAAAGAAUAGCACAUACAAUUACAUACAGUACAUAAUACUUGAUAAGAAUAAAUACUCGAAAAUAAUAUGUUACUGGUUUGUGUAGUUACCGUACUAUAUUUUUCACAGUUAUUUUAGGGUGUACUCCUAUUUACUUAAAAAAGUUAACUAUAAAAAGCCUCAGGCAGGUUCUUCAGGAGGUGUUCCAGAAGAAGGCAUUGUUGUCAUAGGAGGUGACAGCUCUGUGCGUGGGUUAUUUUCCCCAAAGAACUUCCAGUGGGAUAAGAUGUAGAGCUCUUGACCCUGUGCAGGCUAAUGUGCAUGUUUGUGUCUUGGUUUCUAACAAAAAAGUCUAAAAAGCAAAAAAUAGUAACAAUUUUAAAGAUAAAAAAGGUUAUAGAAUAAGGAUAUAAAAAUAUUUUUGUAUAGCUAUACAAUGUAUUUGUGUUUUCAGCUAAGUGCUAUUACAAAAAGUCAAAAUUUUAAAAAUAAGAGUUUAUAAAGAAUGUUCUAAUAACAAAGGUUAAUUUAUUAUUAUUAUUAUUAUUUUUAAUUUAUUUAUUGUUAUUAUACUUUAAGUUGUAGGGUACAUGUGCAUAACGUGCAGGUUUGUUACAUAUGUAUACUUGUGCCAUGUUGGUCUGCUGCACCCAUCAACUCGUCAUUUACAUCAGGUAUAACUCCCAAUGCAAUCCCUCCCCCCUCCCCCCUCCCCAUGAUAGGCCCCGGUGUGUGAUGUUCCCCUUCCUGAGUCCAAGUGAUCUCAUUGUUCAGUUCCCACCUAUGAGUGAGAACAUGCGGUGUUUGGUUUUCUGUUCUUGUGAUAGUUUGCUAAGAAUGAUGGUUUCCAGCUGCAUCCAUGUCCCUACAAAGGAUGCAAACUCAUCCUUUUUUAUGGCUGCAUAGUAUUCCAUGGUGUAUAUGUGCCACAUUUUCUUAAUCCAAUCUGUCACUGAUGGACAUUUGGGUUGAUUCCAAGUCUUUGCUAUUGUGAAUAGUGCUGCAAUAAACAUACGUGUGAGGUUAAUUUAUUAUUGAAGAAAAACUGUUUAUAAAUUUAGUGUAGCCUGAUUUUAUAUAAAAUCUACAGUAGUAUACAGUAAUGUCCUAGGUCUUCACAUUGACUUAUCACUCACUCACCAACUCACCCAGAGCAACUUCCAGUCCUGCAAGCUUCAUUCAUGCCCCAUACAGGUGUACUAUUUAAAAAAUCUUCUAUAGCAUAUAUUUACUCUAGCUUUUCCACGUUGAGAUAUAUUUAAAUA
ensembl:lncRNA